rfam:Schistosoma curassoni strain Dakar, Senegal genome assembly, scaffold: SCTD_scaffold0000278
GUACUCACUUUGGCGGUACAUAUACUAAAAUUGGAAUCAUAUAAAGAUGAUUAGCAUGUCCCCUGCGCGAGGAUGACAUGCAGAAUCGUGAAGCGCUUCAUAUUUUU